UACUCCGAAUGCUCUUAUAUUANUAGUUUGAUCAUGGCUCAGUAAUCAACGCUGGCGGCGUGCCUAACACAUGCAAUGUCUGAACGCGAAAGUCCCGCAAGGUGAUCAGUAGAUGUGGCAAACGGUGUGAGUAACGCUGUGGUGUGACCUGCCUUCAGAGCGGGGGAUAACUGUUCCAGAAAUGGGACUGCUAAAUACCNUGCAAUAACAUCACGUGCGCNUUUUAAGCAGGGUGGAAGUAUCGAAAAGCCUUGGNGUACCGCNAAGGC
rnacentral:rRNA from 1 species